UAAAAAAAAAAAAAAAAACUCCGUUUUUGGCCUCUGAAGUUUUCUCUAAUCUGAAUCCAUGGGAACUCUCCAACCAAACCAUAACCCUCCUCCCAUUGACGAUGAUGAACCGGAUCACGACCCCCCUUAUUUUCCCGCCAUUUCCGAAAUCCCAAUGCCUCCGCCUUCGCCUCUUCAGUGCGCUCAUACCCUAGCUUCCGGUGCCGGAAUUCCCUCCCGGAAUCCCGAGACUUCUACUGAGAACGGCGACUCGACCAAACCAGUUGCUAAUGACUUCGCCAACACGCACUUCGGCGCCGACCUGGACUUCUCCGGCGGAGAGGAGGAGGCCUCCAGCAGCCGCCGCCGCCGGAGCCGGUGGGACCCUCAGCCGGAGACGGAAAGCCAGAGCGGCGUCUGCGCGAGGAGGAGGAAGUCGCGGUGGGCCGAUGAGGAGCCGAAGCCGGUGAUUCAGCUGCCGGGGUUCGUGGGAGGUAUUGAAUUCGAUCCUGAAAUUCAAGCUUUGAAUAGUAGGCAUCUUGAGAUUAGUAGGAUGUUGUCUUCCGGUUUGCCUUUAGAUGAUCGCCCGGAAGGGGAUAGGUCUCCAUCGCCGGAGCCGGUGUAUGAUAACUUUGGAAUUAGGAUUAAUACAAGAGAGUUUCGUGCGCGUGAGAGGUUGAACAAAGAGAGGCAGGAAAUUAUUACUCAGAUUAUUAAGAGGAACCCUACAUUUAAGCCUCCGGCAGAUUACAGGCCGCCCAAGCUUCACAAGAAGCUGUACAUACCCGUGAAAGAGUACCCUGGUUAUAGUUUUAUGGGACUUAUCAUUGGCCCGAGGGGGAAUACCCAGAAGAGGAUGGAGAAGGAGACUGGUGCUAAGAUUGUCAUUAGGGGUAGAGGGUCGGUGAAAGAGGGUAGGUCGCAACAGAAGAGGGAUUCGAAGCCUGACCUGUCUGAAAAUGAGGACUUGCAUGUUUUGGUCGAGGCUGACACGCAGGAGGCUGUUGAUGCCGCAACUGGGAUGGUAGAGAAGCUGUUGCAGCCUGUGGAUGAGGUGUUGAAUGAGCAUAAGUGGCAGCAGCUUAAGGAACUUGCGUUGUUGAAUGGGACUAUUAGGGAAGAGGAGUUUUGUAGGUUAUGUGGUGAGCCGGGGCACCAUCAGAAUGCCUGUCUGUCACGAACUUCAACGUUUAAGAGAGAUGUUCUUUGUAAGAUAUGUGGUGAUGGUGGGCAUCCAACUAUUGAUUGUCCAGUGAAGCGUACGAAUGGGAAGAAAAUGGAUGAUGAGUACCAGAACUUUUUGGCUGAGUUAGGUGGGACAAUGCCCGAAUCAGCAACUAAGCAGACUGCUACUUUGGCUCUUGGCGCAGGCAGCUCGGUAAGCAGUCCUCCUUGGGUUAACAAUGCUGGGAAUGCUAGCAGUACAGCACAUCCAGGAUUGGGCUCAACUGGAUUGAAGCCUAGCAGGGACUAUGAUGACACAAAUUUGUACAUUGGGCACUUGCCACCUACUCUUGAUGAUGAUGGUUUGAUAAGGUUGUUUUCACGUUUCGGUAAUAUUGUGAUGUGCAAAGUUAUUAAGGACCGGGCUACUGGAUUGAGUAAAGGUUAUGGAUUUGUGAAGUACGCUGAUGUUCGGAUGGCUAAUAGUGCAAUUGCAAGCAUGAAUGGUUUUUCCCUCGAGGGUCGAACCAUUGCUGUCAGAGUUGCUGGCAAGCCUCAACAGCCUGUUGUGUCUCCUGGACCACCAGCUUCGGCAAUGUCACCAUACCCGGUCUCAAGCCAGCCUGUUGGUGCUUAUCCAUCCCAGCAAUUUACCCCAGGUGGCCCUCUUUGGACUGUACCAUCUACUAGCUAUGCAGGAACUCCAGUUCCUUGGGGAACCCCUGUUCCUCCUCCAUAUUCUCCUUAUGCUUCUCCAGCUCCCCCUCCUCCAGGUUCAACCAUGUACCCUCCUCCCACGCCGGGUCAACCUGUGGCUGCUUACAGUGCACAAUACCCUCCUCCUCCUGGUGCAUCACGUCAGCCAGUGACGUUAAGUGAAGCACAACAGAGUUAUACUCCUCCAGGGGUACAAUCUGAAAGAUCUACCCAAUCUGCACCAACUAAUAUAUACACAAUGCCAACAAAUGGCCAACAUGCUUAUCCUACAUCUGCAUGUGGCUACCCAUCUUACUACAAUGCAGUUCCACCACCUCCUGCCCCCGGACCUGUACCUGGUUCAACUGCAUACCAAUCCCAGAGCAUUGGUAAUGUGCCAUGGGCCACAAGUACUCCUGUUCUUCCUCCUAAUUCUUCUGCAGAUAAAGCAACUCACGGUGCAGGUGCAGAGUAUGAGAAGUUCAUGGCGGGUAUGAAAUGAUAUGGUUCCCUUCGUAUUAUUCUAAGUUGAAGGUAUGCACUGCACACUGUUUGUUCCAUUCCUGUUUAUACAUAUUAUGUUUUGUUAUCUGUUGGAUGCGUAGUUUCGCUUUGCUCAAUGUUUGAUACUAUGAUUGAUUCAACUAGCUGGCCUUUGCAACUCACAGUGGUAUCAGAUUUCUGCAGUUUCUAGAACUUCUUUCCAACUUGCAGUUUGAGCUGCAUUCAGUUUUAUGUUUAGUUAGCAGAGAAUGUUUGGAGAUGUAUGAAUUAAUCACUCUUUGCUCCCAUGAAAUCUUCCUGAACCUGUGUUUGUGUUUUACCUUGGGUUAUAAAUUGGGAUGUUUUGCCCAAGUUUUGACAGUUUUAUAAGUUUUUCAAAAAGGUUUUUUUUUUUUUUCUGAAAUAGUUCUACUGUUACAUACGAGCAUAUGUGCUUCUAUUUGACUUAUAUAUAUAUAUAUAUAUAUAUACACACACACACAACACACACACACACACACACACACUGACACACAUACAAAUAUAUUUGAAAAGGUAAAGCAGCUCUACACAGGCCAUAAUACAUCUGCUAUGACAGUUUGCAAUGCCUGCAUGUUUUGACUUCAGGAUUUGUAUCUUUAUGUCUAUAAAAGUAUAAGUCUACAAAAAUAUGCCUGUUUGGCUGUGUCUAUGCCUCUACAAAAUAAAUGUAGCCCUCUAAGGAUGGAGACUUCCAUGUAUUGGACUGAGGAGGGCUUUUCAGAACCUUCAGCUCCCUCCUGCUUUGUUAGGGGGUGGGGAGGUACGGUGUGUGUGCCCUUAUCAUUUGCUCUUUAAUAUUUCAACUUCUCUUAGUUUUAGUUUAAUCCGGGACUUCCACUUGUUAUAUAUAUGAGGGUUGUUUACAGACAGAUGAUCAUGCCAUCAUUAUAAGUAUGUGUUCCUCCGAGAAAGUUUUGGAAUCUGGAUAUCGCACCCAAAAUUUUCAUUUGUUUUAUUGCGGAACAAAAACUACCAUGAGCCUCUCCUCCUCCCCUUUGGAUAUAAAUAAAGAAUGAUUUUGUAAUGAUUGCUUUUUUAUCUGUGUGCCAUUGCUUUUAUAGUUAAUUGGAUCACCUUGAAAAGCCCUAAUGCAGGGAUGGUGUUAAUGAUGUAUAUCUAAGAAAUUUAUAGUUUUGUUAUUAUCUUGCUUUUCUUUUUUUGUACUUGACAUUGCUUCGUUGCCAUUAUGUAAAACUUUUACAGGACUGAUGUUUCUUGGAGCUCUUGUGAGCCUGAUUUCUUACCUCUUGACGUUUGGGACUCACAUCUUUAACCUUGCUGUACUGUUAUGACCUUUGCAGUGACAUGAGCUGGAACUUCAGUUAACUGCUCUCAUGUUGGAGAUUCCGUCUAAAACAAUAUGAUUUUGGGUGCUUAUGUUAAACUUCAUUAUGGUUUCACUAAUGUUUCCUUUUUCAAGUUUUGUUUGGAUGUUCUUGAAUGUCCAGUAUCUGGUCCUUUACUUGCUUGUUUUCUUGCUUUCCCUAUCUCUCUAAUUCCGUUAUAAUCCAAAUUUUACCAUGAGGACCUAAGUUUUUCGGACUGCCAAUGGUGCUGAAGCUGCUUCGAUGAUGCUUUUCAUUCCAUAUUAAAAGGUUAUCGUGCCUAACGACUUGAGACAUGCUUGAAGUUGUUGAGGUUAUGAAAACAAAGACUCAUGGACUUGGUUGAUUUGGGUUUUAGUUCUAUGAAGAGGGGGUUGUGGUUGUUAAGCGCAGUAAGAAACUGUGGUGGUGGGGGCUUAAGUGAGUAUGGAUGCUUUGCGAGUUUAAUUUUAUUAAUGGAUGACACUGAAGAUGAGGUAAGGUAUGCUGCCAAUCUGUAUGGUUUGAGUCACCUGCAGGGUUAGGUUUCUUAUUGAAGUGGUUCAUAUUUUAGCCCAGUUGGUAGUGGUGACUGUGUUGAUGACAAUGAGGAGGAUGAAGAGUUGGGUAAGAAGACAAUACUAUCACAUGUGGCCAGAUUUCACUUGCAGAUUGGACUGACCAUGAGAGAUUUGUUUUAGUAGAUGCUUGGGGUGACAUGUUUCUUCAACAUUUGAAAUGGAGUCUUUGUUGUAAGGAGUAGGAAUAGGUUGUCAGAGGUCAAAUAUUAAAAAGGACGGGCAAUUGCUGUUGUAAACUUGUACAUAUUGGAGAAUAUCAAGUUUGCAGAGACUGCUGGUGCCAAAAGCGUGUGUUUCUUUCAAGAAGUUGGAUAAGCUAAUAUGAAUGUCACAAUAGCAAGCCGGCCUCUCAUGUGGUCUGGACUAUGAACUCAGGAGAGGGUAGGAACCUUUGCAAAUGUGUUUGAUGAGAUGAGGAUGAUGGAAGAGAAGGUUUGGAAGGAAUCAUGAUGAGCCGUCUUCCUUUAGAUUGCUUGCUGAUUGUGUUCAGAAAUUUAUUUUGGGAUAUAUCGGAAGAUCAAAAUUAGUAAAAGGCAGCCCAUGGUAGAACUAGAGAAGAUGAGAUUGAAUUCGAUAGGGGAUUGAAAAUGCAGAAAAGGUACCCGUUCUGUAGAUAGUGCCAGCUAAGAUCAUGAAAAUGCUACAAGAUAGCCGUCUCUGCCGAAAUUGCUAGCGAGUGAUGUUAUUAUUUGUCCGUAAUGUUAUCUCUUGCUGUUGUUGAAACAAUUAAGGGCCUUUCACCCCUUUGUUGAU